rnacentral:rRNA from 1 species
GACGAACGCUGGCGGCGUGCUUAACACAUGCAAGUCGAACGGAAAGGCCCUGCUUUUGUGGGGUGCUCGAGUGGCGAACGGGUGAGUAACACGUGAGUAACCUGCCCUUGACUUUGGGAUAACUUCAGGAAACUGGUGCUAAUACCGGAUAGUAGCUCCUGCUGCAUGGUGGUGGUUGGAAAGUUUCGGCGGUUGGGGAUGGACUCGCGGCUUAUCAGCUUGUUGGUGGGGUAGUGGCUUACCAAGGCUUUGACGGGUAGCCGGCAUGAGAGGGUGACCGGCCACAUUGGGAAUGAGAUACGGCCCAGACUCCUACGGGAGGCAGCAGUGGGGAAUAUUGCACAAUGGGCGGAAGCCUGAUGCAGCAACGCCGCGUGCGGGAUGACGGCCUUCGGGUUGUAAACCGCUUUCGCCUGUGACGAAGCGUGAGUGACGGUAAUGGGUAAAGAAGCACCGGCUAACUACGUG